AGAUAACACAGCCUGGGCUGUCAUGACCCCCCAGGAGCUCUGGAAGAACAUCUGCCAGGAGGCCAAGAACUACUUUGACUUCGACCUCGAGUGUGAGACCGUGGACCAGGCUGUGGAGACCUACGGCCUGCAGAAGAUAACGCUCCUGCGGGAGAUCUCGCUGAAAACAGGGAUCCAGGUCCUGCUGAAGGAGUACAGCUUCGACAGUCGCCACAAGCCUGCGUUCACCGAGGAGGACGUGCUCAACAUCUUCCCCGUGGUCAAGCACGUCAACCCCAAGGCCUCGGAUGCCUUCCAUUUCUUCCAGAGCGGGCAGGCCAAAGUGCAGCAGGGUGCGUGGCCAGGUGGGGCUGGGUGGAGGUGGGGGCUCCCCAUGGCCCGUCCUGACCUUGCCACCCCUGGGGGUGCCCUGCAGGCUUCCUGAAGGAGGGCUGUGAGCUCAUCAAUGAGGCCCUGAACCUGUUUAACAACGUCUACGGAGCCAUGCACGUGGAGACCUGCGCCUGCCUGCGCCUCCUCGCCCGCCUCCACUACAUCAUGGGCGACUACGCAGAGGCCCUGAGUAACCAGCAGAAGGCGGUGCUGAUGAGCGAGCGGGUGAUGGGCACCGAGCACCCCAACACCAUCCAGGAAUACAUGCACCUGGCCCUAUACUGCUUCGCCAGCAGCCAGCUGUCCACCGCCCUGAGCCUGCUGUACCGCGCCCGCUACCUCAUGCUGCUGGUGUUCGGGGAAGACCACCCCGAGAUGGCGCUGCUGGACAACAACAUCGGGCUGGUGCUGCACGGGGUGAUGGAGUACGACCUGUCGCUGCGCUUCCUGGAGAACGCGCUGGCCGUCAGCACCAAGUACCACGGGCCCAAGGCCCUCAAGGUGGCCCUCAGCCACCACCUUGUCGCCCGAGUCUACGAGAGCAAAGCUGAGUUCCGGUCGGCCCUGCAGCACGAGAAGGAGGGUUACACCAUCUACAAGACGCAGCUGGGCGAGGACCAUGAGAAGACCAAGGAAAGCUCCGAGUACCUCAAGUGCCUGACCCAGCAGGCCGUGGCCCUGCAGCGCACCAUGAAUGAGAUCUACCGCAACGGCUCCAGCGCCAACAUCCCGCCCCUCAAGGUGAGUCCGGGGCGGAGCGGCCCCUUCGGCCCGGCGAGCCCGGGAGCCCCGCUCACCGCUGGUUUCCCCGCCCCGCAGUUCACGGCCCCCAGCAUGGCCAGCGUCUUGGAGCAGCUGAACGUCAUUAACGGCAUCCUCUUCAUUCCUCUCAGGUGAGGCCUCCGCCCCACUCAAGCGUCUCCCGGUUGGGGGUUUUUUGUGAGUUGGA
rnacentral:sRNA from 1 species